GGAGGGCUCAGUGGUAGAACCUGUGCUUAGAAUGCACAGGGUUCUGGGUUCAAUCCCCAGUACUUCCG
rnacentral:tRNA from 1 species